rnacentral:sRNA from 1 species
UUACGCAACGGACCGCACGAUGACAGUU